UACGAAGGGGGCUAGCGUUGCUCGGAAUGACUGGGCGUAAAGGGCGCGUAGGCGGAUGGCACAGUCAGAUGUGAAAUUCCCGGGCUUAACCUGGGGGCUGCAUUUGAUACGUCUAGGCUUGAGUGAGGAAGAGGGUUGUGGAAUUCCCAGUGUAGAGGUGAAAUCGUAGAUAUUGGGAAGAACACCGGUGGCGAAGGCGGCAACCAUGGGUCCUUUACUGACGCUGAGGCGCGAAAGCGUGGGGAGCAAACAGG
rnacentral:rRNA from 1 species